ACUCUCAACAACAGAUAUCUCGGCUCUCGCAUCAAUGAAGAAUGUAGCGAAAUACUAUACUUGGUGUGAAUUGUAGAAUCCCGAGAACCAUCGAGUCUUUGAACGCAAGUUUGUCCAAAGCCGUUAGGCUGAGGUCAUGUCUCCCUAGGUGUCAUGCAUUGUUGCCCCAUCCUAACCCAAAUCAUAGGGUAUUGGUCAAGGUGUGGGCGUAAAUUGGCCUCAAGUGCGCAAACUGCUCACAGUUUGACUAUAAUUGAUUACACGACGUCAUAGUGCCAUGACGAUCGGUGGUAAUGCCUUGAGCAAUCUCAUUUUGAGUCAUGCACUCUCGUCGAUCUAGACUCUCUAAACCAAAUAGCUUCGCACUUGUAUUGCUCGCAUCGUGACCACAGGUCAGGAGGGAAUACCCGUUGAAUUUAAGCAUAUCAACAAGUGGAGGAAAACAAACUUGCAAGGAUUCCUUUAGUAAUGCUGAGCGAACCGGGAAGAGCCCAUCUUGAUAAUUUGUCACCAUCGACAUCUGAAUUGUAGUUUGGAGAAGCGUCCUCAAUGACACACCGAGCCCAAGUCCCCUUAAAAGGGGCACCGUAGAGGGUGAGAGCCCCGUCUUGCCUGACCCUGUAGUACCACAAGGCGUUAUCUAUGAGUUAGAUUAUUUGGGAAUACAACCCUAAUCGAGCGGUAAAUUCUAUCCAAAGCUAAAUACGGUGAGAGACCGGUAGCGAGCAAGUACAAUGAGGGAAAGAUGAAAAGGACUUUGAAAAGAGAGUCAAAGAGUGCUUGAAAUUAUCAGGAGAGAAGUAGAUGGGGGCCGGUGAUGCGGCCCGGUUGGAUGUGGAAGAGCGACAACUAGUAUGCCGAUCUACUCGGGAUGUGGAUCGACGUGGAUCGUGGUGGCGACCCAAGCACGAGCCUUUGAUACGCCUGUGGAGACGUCGUCACCUCGAUCGUGGAACCCGAUACAUGUCGUCUCAAUGUGUUUCAGCAUAAGUGUGCUCAGGGAGAAACCUACGGGCUCUCCAUAUGACCCAUCUUAAAACACGGACCAAGGAGUCUGACAUGUGUGCAAGUCAACGGGCAGAAAAAAACGUAAGGCAUAAUGAAGCUUAUUAGCGAGAUCCUUCAUGGGUGCACCGCCAACCGACCUUGAUCUUUUGAGAAGGGUUCGAGUGAGAGUAUGCUUUUCGGGACUCAAAAGAUGGUGAACUAUGCUUGAGUGGGGCGAAGCCAGAGGAAACUUUGGUGGAGGCCCGCAGUGGUACUAACGUGAAAAUCGUUCGUCUGACUUGGGUAUAGAGGCGAAAGACUAAUCAAACCGUCUAGUAGAUAUUUCCCUCCGAAGUUUCCCUCAGGAUAGUUGGAUCCUUUAGCGAGUUCUAUCAGGUAAAGGUAAUGAUUAGAGGUAUCAGGGUUACAACGCCCUCGACCUAUUCUUAAACUUUAAAUAGGCAGGACGACACGACUGCUUCGUUUAGCUGUGCCACAGAAUCAAGAGCUCUAAGUGGGCAGAAAUGAUGAUGCAUGAUGAACUGAAAUCCAGGUUAAGGUGCCCAACUACGUGCUAACUAGAACCCACAAAGGGUGUUAGUCGAUUAAGAGAGCAUGAUGGUGGUCAUGGAAGUCAAAAUUCGCUUAGGAGAGUAUGACAACUCACCUACUGGAUCAACUAGCCUCAAAAAUGGAUGACGCUUAAGCCUGUGACCUGUACCCUGCCUUCGAGGCAAGGACCAGGCCCCUAUGAGUUUGAGGGCGCGGCGGUCGCCGUAAAACCUGGGGCGUGACACUGGGCAGAGCGGCCGUCAGUACAGAUCAUGGUGGUAGUAGCAAAUAUUCAAAUGAGAACUUUGAAGGCCGAAUAGGGGAAAGGUUCAAUUUGAACGACACUUGCAGAUGGGUUAGUCGAUCCUAAGAGAUGGGCGAAGCCCGUCCGAUAGUGUGUUCCACGCAAGCUUCGAAAGGGAAUCAGAUUAAAAUUCUUGAACCUGAAUAUGAUGGAUGAUGGUAACAUUUGGGAGUCCAGAGACGUUGUUGAGGGCCUCACAAAGAGUUAUCUUUUCUGUUUAACGGCCUGCCUACCCUAGAAACAACUCAGACGGAGGUAGGGUCCAGUAGUUGGAAGAGCACCGCACCCACGACCCUUUAAAAUCCGGAGGACCGAGUGUUAUCCGCACCUAGUCGUACUCAUAACCGCAUCAGAUCUCCAAGGUGAACAACCUCUGGUCGAUGGAACAACAUAGGCAAAGGAAGUUGGCAAAAUGGAUCCGCAACCUCGAGAAAAGGAUUGGCUAUGAGGGAUGGACACGGGGGUCUUAGUCCUGAACCUGUCGGCUGUCGGUGCACUGCUCAAGCUGUUCCCACGGUGAGAGCGGAUUACUGCGUGCCAAUCGGGGGAUGGACUAGGAACGGCUCCUUCAGGGGCUUUCUCCGAGCGAUGAACACUCUACUCAGAACUGGUACGGACAAGCGGAAUCCGACUAUUUAAUUAAAACAGAGCAUUGUGAUGGUCCUUGCGGAUGCUCACUCAAUGUGAUUUCUUCCCAGUGCCCUGAAUGUCAAAGUGAAGAAAUUCAACCAAGCGCUGGUAAACGGAGGGAGUAACUAUGACUCUCUUAAGGUAAAAAAAUGCCUCGUCAUCUAAUUAGUGACACACAUGAAUGGAUUAACGAGAUUCUCACUGUCCCUGUCUACUAUCUAGCGAAACCACAGCCAAGGGAACGGGCUUGGCAGAAUCAGUGGGGAAAGACAUAAUUUGAUGCAAUAUAAAUAAGUUUUUACGUCCGAUAAGGUGGAAAAAAUUGGACCGAAAGAUUUAAAAUUAUUAAAAAAUAUCAAGAAAUUUAAAAUUAAAAACUAAAAUAAAGUGUUUCAGAACGAAAAUUGAGAUAAGGCGCCUUCGAAUCCUUGCCAGUAUGCAGAUCUAAAAAAAUACAUAGAUUCAAAAAACAAUCAACUCAAUCGGACCAUCGUAGGCGAAGUUAUGGCCAUUCAAAGUUUUGAAACGCAGCGUUUGAAUUUAAACCAUUUAGUGCUAAACUCAUUGUUUUGUAAUAAACCAAAAAAUGGUUUUAUAUUCCUCCCACUAUAACCUCCCCGCGAAAAAAUUCACCCUCAUUGAACCAAUGUUUGAAAUUUGCAGUGAAGGUUUUCCGAGAAUCUCCUAUUCCGAUGCAACCUUAAAGGAGUAAAACUAUUGAUUUGAUUCGUUUUUGAGGGUUUUCCUGCAACUUCCGAUUCUGUUUGUCAAAAGGUAAAUUUAUAUGUCUUUAUGUAUUUGCUAAAACAUGGGAUUUCUAUUUUCAAUUUUCGCCUUUCAAUCUACGCAGUUAAUUUCCAGAACAACAAACAGAAGGUUAUAUUUACACCAAAUUCUUGCUCAAGUGGGAAGCGAAGCUGUUUACUGGUAGGUUCAAAUGCGUUAUAGUACUACUGUUAUGUAACACUGUACGAUCUUACUACACUUCAUGAGUUAAAUUGUUGUUCAUUGUUAACUUGUUCCUAGAGUUGGAAAAA
rnacentral:rRNA from 1 species